rnacentral:misc_RNA from 1 species
GUAGGUGAACCUGCGGAAGGAUCAUUAACACGUAUCCAACGUUAAACAACCCUGCGAACCUUGAACGUGCUCUCGUACACGCUCUAGCAGCAAUCCCUGGUAAAUCAUUGUUGACCAGCGCCAGAGUAAGUGCGGCCUGGCAUCCUAGCAAUCUGUCAGUGGUUGCGCAAGGAUGGCGCAGUAAACGAUCGCUGUAGGCCCACACGGUCGGCGACCGGGCCUCUGUGCUUCGGCACCUAAUGACACCAGUUUUCUGACCCGGUGCGCUGUAACAACCGCACCACAAACUCGAACAACUGUUAACAAUGGAUAUCUUGGUUCUU